GUCCCUGUAGCUUAAACCAAAGCAUAGCACUGAAAAUGCUAAGACGGGAUACCACCCCAAGGAC
rnacentral:tRNA from 1 species